AUGUUAGUUACUGUGGAUGCGCAGAUUCCAGUCGCGGCAGGAUCGCCAGAGUGUUCUUCUCCAGCUCUUCGUCUUUGUAUUACGGCCUCCCACAGUCGUUCUUCUUUUCCUUCAAGGUCUAUGCAGAGCUGUUGGGUAAUCAAUGGGAUGAGGUGUAAUGGCGUGAAGUUUGUCAUGGGGGAAGCCUAUGCUAGGAGAAGUUUAAUGAAGCAAAAGCAUAAAGAAAGAUUAGCGAUUGAAAGUUUGGCCAUGGGGAAGUUUAAGACAUUUUUGAAACUGUUAGAAAAAUGGGGAUGUUCUAAUGAUGAGCUUAGGUUUAGGAUAAAUAGAUUUUGA